UACGGAGGGGGCGAGCGUUAUUCGGAAUUAUUGGGCGUAAAGGGCGCGUAGGCGGCUGUACAAGUCAAAGGUGAAAUCCCUCGGCUCAACUGAGGAACUGCCUUUGAAACUGUACGGCUUGAGGCCGGGAGGGGGUAGUGGAAUUCCCAGUGUAGCGGUGAAAUGCGUAGAUACUGGGAGGAACACCAGUGGCGAAGGCGGCUACCUGGACCGGUUCUGACGCUGAGGCGCGAAAGCGUGGGUAGCAAACAGG
rnacentral:rRNA from 1 species